rnacentral:lncRNA from 1 species
AGAGCUCGAGGUUAGCUCUUCACUGCCCUGUGUCUUCUUUCCAAGGGUCUCGGUGAUUCGGCCACAGCCUCAGCCUCCAUCACGCGGUGAACUGAUGGUGCUGGAAGAUUCAUAGACUCCAGGACAUUCCUGAAGCCGAGAAAAGGUUAAGUAGGGUCUGGCCUGGAAUACUCUCCUAGAUGAAGAUAGCCCAACCAUGAGCCACCUUCGAAGCAGAUGAGAUGAAAUUAAAGCUCUUCAACUCCUAAAGGCCCAGAGACUAUCACAAAAGAGGUCAGAAAUCCUGAAGGUCACUUUCUGACAAACUCAGGAACCCCAGGUUUAUCUUGGAGCCUCAAGAGGAGAUAAAUUCACCCAACUCAGGUAUUUGAUGGUACAAAUCCAUGUCUGGGGUUGGCUUUUAAAAAGUAUUAUCUGAGAUUCCUUCUGUGGAACAAAGUUCCAUCGGGGAAAAAUUGUGCAAAUGUAAUAAAUUUGGAAAAACACUUUUUCAAAAACUACAGCUUAGAAAACAACAGAGAGUUCAUACUGGAGUAUGCUUUUGCAGAUGCAGUACAUGUAAAAAAAUAUUUAAUCCAUAAUUAAGUCUAUGCAAAUAUCAGAAUUUAUGGUAGAAAUAUAUAAGGCACUGACACACUUCACGUAUUCUAAAUCAGUGCUGAGUAUAGGAAAUCUAAAACUAAAGUUGGCAGAAAAAUUAUUUGUAUGUAACUUUCAGAGGAUCAGAAGGUUUUUUGCAGAAUUAUAAUUACAUUCAAAGUAUAUUUCUUGAAAAAAAUACAGAUUUUUUGAAAAGUGAAUAA